rnacentral:rRNA from 1 species
GACGAACGCUGGCGGCGUGCCUAAUACAUGCAAGUCGAACGAGUGGCGGACGGGUGAGUAAUGUCUGGGAAACUGCCUGAUGGAGGGGGAUAACUACUGGAAACGGUAGCUAAUACCGCAUACCAUCAGAUGUGCCCAGAUGGGAUUAGCUAGUAGGUGGGGUAACGGCUCACCUCGGCGACGAUCCCUAGCUGGUCUGAGAGGAUGACCAGCCAAACUGGAACUGGAACACGGUCCAGACUCCUACGGGAGGCAGCAGUGGGGAAUAUUGCACAAUGGGCGCAAGCCUGAUGCAGCCAUGCCGCGUGUGUGAAGAAGGCCUUCGGGUUGUAAAGCACUUUCAGCGGGGAGGCGUUACCCGCAGAAGAAGCACCGGCUAAAUCCGGGCCAGCAGCCGCGGUAAUAC